rnacentral:rRNA from 1 species
GUGGAUUAGAUACCCUAGUAGUCCUAGCCGUAAACGAUGGAUACUAGGCGUUGCGUGUAUCGACCCAUGCAGUGCCGUAGCUAACGCGUUAAGUAUCCCGCCUGGGGAGUACGCACGCAAGUGUGAAACUCAAAGGAAUUGACGGGGGCCCGCACAAGCGGUGGAGUAUGUGGUUUAAUUCGAUGCAACGCGAAGAACCUUACCAGGGCUUGACAUGUCCGGAAUCUUCUGGAAACAGAAGAGUGCCUGCGGGAACCGGAACACAGGUGGUGCAUGGCCGUCGCCAGCU